UGGGGAAUUUUGGACAAUGGGGGAAACCCUGAUCCAGCAAUGCCGCGUGUGUGAAGAAGGCCUUCGGGUUGUAAAGCACUUUUGGCGGGAACGAAAUGGAGCUUGCUAAUACCAGGCUUCGAUGACGGUACUCGCAGAAUAAGCACCGGCUAACUACGUGCCAGCAGCCGCGGUAAGACGUAGGGUGCAAGCGUUAAUCGGAAUUACUGGGCGUAAAGCGUGCGCAGGCGGUUUUGUAAGACAGGCGUGAAAUCCCCGGGCUUAACCUGGGAACUGCGCUUGUGACUGCAAGACUAGAGUGUGUCAGAGGGAGGUGGAAUUCCGCGUGUAGCAGUGAAAUGCGUAGAGAUGCGGAGGAACACCGAUGGCGAAGGCAGCCUCCUGGGAUAACACUGACGCUCAUGCACGAAAGCGUGGGGAGCAAACA
rnacentral:rRNA from 1 species